UUAGCGGCGCUUUUUAGCGCCAUUAAAAGUAUUUGUGGUGCUUUG
rfam:Gossypium hirsutum cultivar TM-1 chromosome 25, whole genome shotgun sequence